rnacentral:rRNA from 1 species
UAAAAACCCCGACUUCGGAAGGGGUGUAUUUAUUAGAUACAAAACCAAUGCCCUUCGGGGCUCUUUGGUGAUUCAUGAUAACUAUACGAAUCGCACGGCCUUGCGCCGGCGAUGGUUCAUUCAAAUUUCUUCCCUAUCAACUUUCGAUGUUUGGGUAUUGGCCAAACAUGGUUGCAACGGGUAACGGAGGGUUAGGGCUCGACCCCGGAGAAGGAGCCUGAGAAACGGCUACUACAUCCAAGGAAGGCAGCAGGCGCGCAAAUUACCCAAUCCCGACUCGGGGAGGUAGUGACAAUAAAUACUGAUACAGGGCCCUUUCGGGCCUUGUAAUUGGAAUGAGUACAAUUUAAAUCCCUUAACGAGGAACAAUUGGAGGGCAAGUCUGGUGCCAGCAGCCGCGGUAAUUCCAGCUCCAAUAGCGUAUAUUAAAGUUGUUGUGGUUAAAAAGCUCGUACUUGAACCUUGGGCCUGGCUGGCCGGGCCGCCUCACCCCGUGCACUGGUCCGGCCGGGCCUUUCCCUCUGUGGAACUCUGGUUACUUAGCUGGUAGUUGAACCGUGACACUAGCUGGACGGU